GAACACUAUUACCUGGGAAGAAUACAUAUCUGCUGAAAAUGGAAAGGCACCACACCUGGGCAGAGAACUGGUGUGCAAAGAGAGCAAGAAGACAUUUAAAGCCACUGUAGCCAUGAGCCAGGAAUUUCCUCUGGGAAUUGAGUCAUUAUUGAAUGUUCUAGAAGUAAUAGCACCCUUCAAGCACUUUAACAAGCUUAGAGAAUUUGUUCAAAUGAAGCUUCCUCCUGGCUUUCCUGUAAAAUUAGAUAUACCCGUGUUUCCCACGAUCACAGCCACUGUGACUUUUCAGGAAUUCCGAUGUGAUGAGUUUGAUGGGUCCAUCUUUGCCAUCCCUGAAGACUACAAGGAAGACCCAAGUCGUUUUCCUGACCUUUAGCUGAUCCCGAAGAGCAAGAGGCUUCAGGUGGCAGGGACUGACCUUCGUUCAGCAGAGAGAACACAUCAGUGAUGUGAUGAAAAACUGACCUCUAAUGAAACAUCCACAGCUUCCUGAUGUGCCAUUCAUUCCUCUUUUUAAAGUCACUUCCUGUCUGUACUAGUUUGACACCCAGUGACCCCAAGACCUUCCUAUGUAAAGCAGCUGUGAGUGCUGUGAUUUGUUUUUAAAGAUUUUUACACUUCUUGUUGAAAUAUAUAUCAUAUGAAUAUAUCUAUAGCUAUAUCUAAAACACUCCUGGACCAUUAACGUCAAUUCCGUGUCUUAAGAGAUAUGAAGCCCUUUGAAAUGCGUCACCUCUAUCAGGUGGCAUGUAUAAAUGUUCCUUUAAACUAUGUUUUCAUCAUCAUGUAUAGUUCUGUAAUUUGAAUGUUUAAUCAACUAGAAGGAAUGCAGUUUUCUGAGGUGAACAGAGCAGUGGUAACUAUUGAACAGUUGCAUUUACAGCCUGUUGCAAUACAUUCCGAGGGAACACUCCUGCAGGGAAUGCGGUGCCCCCACCCCGCCCCCACCCCAGCACCUUGAUAACAGUUGCAUUUACAGCUGCAGUGCAUCCCAAGGGAGUGCUCCCUGCAGGGGAUGCGGUGCCCCCAGCACCUUCAUGCAGCUCAUCGUGGUGCUCUUUGUUUCACCUGAAUCCUUUUUCAGUGGAAACUGUUUGUUACUGAUCUUCCUUUCAUAGAACCUCAAUUUUUUUUCCUAAACUUGAGUUUAAAGGUCCUUGUUCUGUUGAUAGGUACGGUAACAUGCUUACAGCUAGCCCUCUCCUAAGUAUCAGCACUUUAAACAAAUUCCAAAUUUUUAAACUUGCUUCCUAGUAAGUGCACGUAAGUCAGAUUAUUUUUAAUGGAAUAUGGAUGCAUUGGUGUCAAUUUUAAAAAACAAAACAAAACAAAGCAACGUAUUUUGGACAAUUAUAUAUGUAACGCUUUCAAAAUAAGGUAAAAACAUUUUAUAUGCUACAAUAUAUUUGUUAUAGGCUAAAAGUCCAGAAACACCUGAUUGAAAGUUCAUUUUUUUCUUUUAAGUCACAGGAAAAUAACUAUUGAUUUGUCUUCAGAGUAUUAAAAUCAUGCAUUACUCAUUUUUGCACCUAAAAUUUGUCAUUUAUUACAAGAUGGUUUAAAGAACCAAGAGUGAAAAUAAAUUAGAAUAAUGUUCAAAUCAUAACAGUAUCAUGUUGUAUUAAAGACUUAGCUAAAUGUUUGUGUCCUGAUGAGAUGUGUCAUGGAUGCACCUGUCAGGUUGUUAUAGAAUGUUUAAACUUUGACCAAGACUUUUAUUGAAAGAUGACUUAUUUAAAAAUCCAAAGUGUCAGCCGUAAGAUAUUUAUCUCUUUACAGUUGCAUCUCAGAUAGUGAUACCACCUGGCAUAUGUUGACAUUUUAUUUUUUAUAAAAAUGAUUGCAUUCAAAAAAAUCAAAGCCCUAAUCACUCCAGUAAGUGAUCUGUUCAGUUUUAAGAACUGAGAAGCCCAAAGCUAGCAUGAUGGAAUGGAAGUUGUCCCUGCCAGACAGUGGCUGAUCCAGCGACUUAGCUACUCAAUUAAUUCUGUUGUCAGUCAUGAGGUCCAAGGUUCUGAAAGGCAGUGAUCACUGUUGCUUUAGGCUCCUUGGCUCGAACAUAAAUGGAAAAAUGAUAAAUUUGCAGCUUGGGAUUUAGAAUUUCUUAACAUGUGAAUAUUUUGCUGGGUUACACUGGAGAUAGGACUGCUGAAAAUUGUUGCACUGGAUUGUACUACUGAAAAUUGUUGCACUGGAUUGUACUACUGAAAAUUGUUGCACUGGAUUGUUUUGACUUCAAUUUUUCUUUAAUGAAUAGUAGAAUCAGAUUGUCCAUUCCAAAAUGUUUUUUCCUCUGAUCACAAAGAACAAGUGUAUCUCUUAUGAUGGUGGGAAAAAAGGAGUUAAUUAAUGCAAAUAAACUUUUCACAAUAUUAAGACUUUU
rnacentral:lncRNA from 1 species